UCAGAGGGAGCCUCGAGGGCGGCGGCAGCGCUGCCGGAGCCAGCUGGACGCCGCCGGUUAAAGCUGCUCAGCGGUUAAAGCCAAGCCAGGUUAAAGCCGAGCCAGGGCUUCGGUAGACGGCUCACAGAAACAGGGACAACUGACGGGAUCCCUCACCCCUCGAACAAGUGACAAAAGCGAUCACUCCGCAAUUGAGAUGUGAAGGAAGAUCACCAGCCAGGUGGGGUUGCAGUGAGGGGUAGGAAAGGAGAAGAUAUGAUCCAGUUGUCUCCGAUGAAAAGACCAACUCUACCAGCAAAACGUAGGAUUACCAGACAAUGCUCAAUCUACAUCUGACUCAUUCACCAUAUUAAGGAUUUUGGUCUUGAUCCCAAGAGUUCCAGUGACAGCUGAAGCAAGGCCAGGAGCAGGUGGACUGAGGCACGUGAGGAUGAGCCAGCAGGCCUUUGAGAGUCACUGGUUGUGGUGGAAAGAGGAUCUGAGAUCACCCAGACUCCUGGCCUGGGCAACUAAAGAUUGUCGAGGCCCAUUCACAGGGAAGCACAUUUUGGACUGAAGGUGGGGAGUUGGAACCAGAUACUGAAGUGCAAGCUGCCUCCAUUCAGGUGGACUGCAGGAACCAAGGUGGGAGCUUGCGUUCUGCUCACUCUGCUUUCUGCCAGGCUUCUCUCCCCGACCAGCCCAGACUCACAUCUUUGUCCACUCUGGGGCUGCCUGUGGUCUUACAAGGCAAGCCCUCCCGCACCACUGAGCAGCUGCUUCCCUAAGCAUCACACUGCCCAGAAGUUAAAGCAGAGCCCAGUAACCAUGUAGGUCUUCUUCAUGAGCUCUGAAAAUACUGUUCUGUGUCAUCUGCAGGUGGCCAAAGUCCUUUCAUAACUUGGUAUCACUAUAUUGAUCUGUUUUACAGUUUUACGCAUUAACCAUGACUAUAUUUGAUAUUUUCAAAGCGAAGCACACCUAUAAGUACAAUACAAAAUUUAAGUUUUAGGUUCUAAGUGAGGUGUAUAUAUUUUUAAUCCAGCUCAUUCACACAAUUUAUCUCAUUAAAGGAAAAUCUACUCCUCCUCCUCUUUCUCAUAAAGAAACCUGAAACACUCAUUCUUUUUAACACCAUAUUGGUGAAUUUCUACAGUUUUUUAAUAGUUGGCAGAAUUCUCCAAUUGUAGAGGGUUCUUUCCCCAUUGUUCUCCAUCUCUCGUUUACCCUAUCUCUUCCACUCCCCCCAACCCAUACGACUGCCAGUGGGAGAGCAAGGAGUGUGCAGGGGUGGGGAAGGGAGAGAGAGAGAGAGCAUGAGGAAUAUCCAUGUUCAUGGGUUUACUCAAUGUUAUUUUGAGAUUUGUACUAAACUGAGUGGGAAGUGCUGAUGAUAAGAGAAUACCAGUACUAGCCUUAAACUCAAGCUGGUAGGAAAGACGGACGAAACAUGGAAAAGUAACCAAAAAAGUGAAAAGGGGAGGAAUAGAAGCCAAACACAGUAGAGAGCAGGGGAGGAGGGAGCACUUGGCAGCCAAGCUCCCUGGGAUUUACCGUUCCCCAUUCACCAGCCCUGACCCACCCCAUCCCACCGGGCUGUCAGUGCAGCACACCAGGGGCGGGGAGAUUUCUCGCGGGCUGUGCACAGGUAUGAUGGUGUGAUUAGUGUCUUGGGCGCAGUUAACACAUACCUCACAGUAGAACACAUUUGUCUCUCUUAAUUACACAAAACAUAAAAGAAGUGUGAAAAUCCCCAACCUCAAUUCUCUCUCCCUUCCAAUUCCCAUCCUCCCAGAGGUAACCAGCCAUUGUUAACCACCUGGUAGCCUUAUUCCAGAAACUUAAAUAUACCUCAGGCUCCCUAGCCCAUGUCCCAGGAUUUCUGCACUUUCUCAGGCUUAUGUCUGGACUCUGGCUUCCUUCUCCAGUAGGGUUCUGUCCCCUUAGCCUGCUGCCCCCUUCGCUCUCUUGUGGAUGCCCUGCCUUUAGUCUAAUCUUGUUCACACUCGUUGCAGUGAUGUGAAUAAGUACAUUGGUUGGCAGCUGGUAGAACUCAGAACUCAGAUGGCAUUCUAUAUAGCAUCACAGAGAGGGUGAUCUGAUGGCUAGCAGUGUCUCCUUGUGCCAGGCACUGUCCUUGAGUGCUCCAUAUGUUUUCAUUUAUUUAAUCCCUCAACAGCCAAGUGAGGUAGGUAAGUAUGUUGCAGAAAACUGAGGCACAGCAAGGUUAUAUAACUUGCCCAGGACCAGUGAGUAAAGGUAGAGCCAGAAUUCAACCCACUUGACUGAUUGCAGUCUGUGUUCCUAGCCCUCAGAUUCCAUGGAGUCUAACAGGUUAGAAUGAAGACUCACAGGCCCAAAGAUGAUAGGCAGACCCAUCCCUAAUCUAGUGGGCACCAUCUAAUUAGCUGCCAGCACGGCUAGAAGAUAAAGCAGGCAGAAAAACGUUGAAUAGACUGGCCUAGUCUCCCAGCCUACAUUUUUCUCCUGUGCUGGAUGCUUCCUGCCCCUGAACAUCGGACUCCACGUUCUUCAGUCUUAGAACUCAGACAGGUUCUCCUUGCUCCCCGGCUUUCAGACGGCCUAUUGUGGGACCUUGUGAUACUGAGUUAAUACUUAAUAAACUAUCAUCCAUCCGUCUGUCUCGUCCGUCCGUCCACCCACCCACCCACCCACCCACCCAUCCAUCCAUCCAUCCAUCCAUCCAUCCAUCCAAUCUAUCUUCUAUUAGUUCUGUC